GGCGUCCAGUCCAGCAUCUCCAGCUGUGACCUCCAACAGCAAAAUGAAACUUCUGUGUCUGCACUUGGUCCAGGAGAUGUUACUUCUCAUAUAGCAGUGUACACUGUUUAUCCCAGUGGGUUCCAAGAGCUGUACCGCCAUUUUCUUAGGCUCCCUAGUGGUGCAAUUGUUGAGGUGUUUGGUGAUAUCAGUGGCUUAAAGUUUAUCCCCAGUGAAGUGGUCACGGCUAUUCAGGAGCAUCUAAGUGAAAUGGACAGUGCACUGGAAGACUCCUCAGAUAUUAAAUCAAGAGGAUUGAAAAGAAUCCAUUAAAACAAAAAGGUCCACAAGUCAUGGUGAGAAGACUAAGUUCAACUUCCUUUUCAAUCUACGGCCUUAUAAUAUGUCCUUUACCAGAAGUCAGUAACCAGUACUGGAAACAACAGCUGGACGUCGUGAUUGUCCCAAAUAUGUUUUCAGAGAACAUAGACUCAUCUUCAUUAGCUUAGAAAGAGCUACUUGGCUCCUGUGAAGUAUGAAGAGAGAUAGAAUAUCAUUUUUCACACUCCCCCAGCAGUACUCUUUCCUUUGGAGGGAAUAAGGGGAAUGGCUAGAAGAUGAUAUAACCAAGCCUAAAUAAAUCCCCUUUCCCCUUCACUUAGCAUAAAAUUUCACAUUUUUUUUCUAGAAGAAAUUUCAAGGAAAAACAUGGAAAAAUUACAUAAUAAAAAAAAUCAAGUCACUUAAAUUAGUUGUUUUACAGCACAAAUGCUUUGUAUUCUAAGAUAUCAACAAACAGCCCCAAACUGGCUGGCUCCCAUUCGGGCUCCCCUCAUCCACCUUAGCUCUUUCUAAAAGGACCAAAGUAGACUAUUCCUUUGACUAUUCCUUUUUGUCUUUACUCCCUUGCUUUCCUUUUUUCAACUGAAGGUUUGGAAUAGGACUUAGGAUCACAAGAGGACAAAGAACUGUCAGAGGGUUGAUGGGUUAUAAAAAAAUCCUGCAUCUUUAAGAAUCAUUUGUCCUCAUUAUAGAGCAAUAAAUACAGAGGAUAUCUAGGCCCUCUGGUCCUCCUCUGCGUUUUUAAGGAAGGGUAAGCAGGUGUUUUAACAGUCACCUCUCUCAAACAAAAAGCAGUGUUUAUGAGAGAGGUCAAAUUUGAUACCUGUAACUGGGAAACAUAAACACAUCCCAUCCUGGUGAUUUUUCAAUCCUCAUCUUUAAUUAUUGUCUAACUAUAAGGAUAUCUUCAGUCUUACAAUAAGACAUUGAAUUACACUAGAUGUUCCCUCUAUUGGCAGAAAUUAGCAUAUGCAUAUACUGUCUAUAUUUUUCAUCCUCUAUAGCUCUUAUUGAAGGCAGAUCAACAUAUAUUAACAUCUCUGACAACAGAUCUCAACUUCACAGAAACUAGUGAACAUUCUAAAUAGGUUUUAAUGGCUUAAAUUCUUGCACCUGCACAACUCAGGAAACUAGACUCUUCCUUCAAAAUGAUACGGGACUGUCAGUGUCAACGACUUCUUGCAUUCCUCACCUCCACACUUGCAAGUAUAAUUACCUGGUCGUAGCUCUGGUCAUCAGGUACUCACCUCCACUUUCACCGAAUAGCUUUCUAUUCUAACUACAUGCUUUGCCUUCCCCAUUGGAGCAUGAAUUACCUGUGUGGAGAAUUUUUCAAAUGUAUCUUCUUAUUAACAGAGCUUAGAACAAUUCUUGGCCCUAUGCAGGGGCCCAAAAAACAUUUCCUGUUGGGAAGAUGGUGUGAAGGAGAGGUGGGGGAAGGGAUUAGGGCCAGGUGUUAUCACUUAUAGUAUAAAUAAGAAGCCCAUCCCUCCUCCUGAAAAAGUGGGGCUGGAUACAGUAAAGUAAGUUCUAUGAUAGACCUGUAUCAAUACAAAAUAUACUGAGAAGGAUAAAUGUAUACAUAUAAGUAGAUUUCUG